GGCUCAGGAUGAACGCUAGCGGCAGGCUUAACACAUGCAAGUCGAGGGGUAUAGUUCUUCGGAAUUAGAGACCGGCGCACGGGUGCGUAACGCGUAUGCAAUCUACCUUUUACAGAGGGAUAGCCCAGAGAAAUUUGGAUUAAUACCUCAUAGCAUAGCAGCUUCGCAUGAAGCCACUAUUAAAGUCACAACGGUAAAAGAUGAGCAUGCGUCCCAUUAGCUAGUUGGUAAGGUAACGGCUUACCAAGGCUACGAUGGGUAGGGGUCCUGAGAGGGAGAUCCCCCACACUGGUACUGAGACACGGACCAGACUCCUACGGGAGGCAGCAGUGAGGAAUAUUGGACAAUGGGCGCAAGCCUGAUCCAGCCAUGCCGCGUGCAGGAUGACGGUCCUAUGGAUUGUAAACUGCUUUUGUACAGGAAGAAACACUGGUUCGUGAACCAGCUUGACGGU
rnacentral:rRNA from 1 species